rnacentral:piRNA from 1 species
UGUGCAUAUAGCAGAGAGGCAGCUUUCAAG